UUUUGUGUAUGACUGUGUCCUUUUGCUCAAUGUGUCCUUAAUCCUUACCAAGUUAACUAACUCGUGGUCGCGAGUAAGCAACACCCAUAACCAAUAUUUUUUUUCUAACAAAUUUUAUUGUGCAGCGCAAACCUAGCUGAAACAAAACAUCUCUUCUCUAUCUCUACUGUACUUGUGAAGUCACGAAUUUGAGUGAAAGUCCGCCUGGCAGGAGAAUAUUCCCUGGUCCUCUCAAAAUUCUCUGCCCGCCCGCACGUCCCAAAGCCGUAGCGCCAAAUCCCCGCGCGCCCCGCCGCCGCCGUCGCACGAUGCCCGUCCCGUCCCGCGCGCCUCGCCGCUGUCGGUCCUGUCCCUGACCGCGACCCGCUCGCCGCUCGCGCCCAGCCGCCGUCGGUCCGGUCCCCAACCUCGACCUGCUCGCCGUCAAGGUCCGCUCGCGCGCCGCCGCCGAUCUCCUCUCGCGAGCCGUCGCCGCCAAUCUUCGUUCGCGAGCCGCCGCCACCGCCUCGAUCCCCUCACGCGAACCUCUCGCGAGACACCGCCGAUCUCCGCUCGCGAGCCGUCGCCACUGAUCUCCUCUCGCGAGCCGCCGCCGCCGAUCCCCACCGUCUCAUUCUCACGGGAGGCACGCGACCAGGUUCUUAAUUCCGCCUUUCCGUUCUUCUUCUUCUCUUCUACAGAAACCCCUCAGAUGUGGAAGCUUCGGCUCCCUUCUCUGCUCCCUGUGCUGCUGUGAUGCCUUGCUGAGUCCAGAAGGCGGCGCCCCGGACCAACAGUUGUGCGACGCGAGGAUUGGGUAACGGAGCCGCGUUUGAGUGGCGGGGGAGGUGGUAACCACACGCCUCCCUUGCAACGGCCUUCUGAGAUUGAAAGAAGAGUCAGAGUUGUGAUUGAAAAAUUUGCUGAGCAUGGCCUGCGGUCACUUGGUGUGGCGUUCCAGGUUUGAGAUAUCAUCACCUCGCUGUAGACCUUUAGUUGCAUAAUACAUGAAUGCUAUUGUCAAAGUGAUAGUUCUUGAUCAUUGUGCAGUAUUAUGGAACUAUCUUCGUUACAUGCCACUCUGUGUACAGUUUAGUCCAAAAGUAUUCCCUUUUUUAGCAAAAAUAAUGAGUAGAUACAAUAGCUUUUUCUAUAUAGAUGUCAUGCUAGAGAUUCUCAUUUGAGAGAACAAUUGUUUGGGUGCCGACAGUAUAAAUGAUGAUCUGCUUUUAUGCAUACAUUUUAUCAGAGAACAAAAUAUUGGAUAAUAUUGUUGAGUUAUUGUCUUUUUAAAUAUUGUUUCAAAUUACCGUUGAAUGAGAUAAUCAGAAUAAGUUAGUGCUUGUCGUUUUAUGCAGGUAUACUACAAUGAAGAAAUACUGAGUGUGCCUGUGGCGAUGAUAUAAGGAAAAUGUGAGGUUACAAACCUUCCAGAUUCAAAUCUUCCGGUGGUGGUUGAUCAUCUCUUCUACUGUGAUCAUUUAUAUGAUCCUGGUACUGGAGCUUUCAAGCAGGCCAGCUAUUGGCAGAUUCUGUUUUUGGUUCCCCAAUACUUUUGCCCUUUUUUCAAUGAGAAACUUCUUCAGGUGCACCUACUUCAAAAAAGAACAAAGGAAAGCAGAUUUGUGACAGUGAUCAAGCUGGUUCAGAUAAACAGAAGGCUGCAGCAUCAGAGAACAGUCUUGCAACCUUUGAUAUUUUUGCCGGCUGUGGAGGCUUGUCUGAAGGGUUGCAACUAUCUGGUGCAUCACGUACAAAAUGGGCAAUUGAAUAUGAAGAACCUGAUGGGUAAGCAUUUGGUGAAAAUCAUCCAGAAGCUGCAGUAUUUGUGGAGAACUGCAAUGUGAUUCUGAAGUAUGAAAUCCAUUUUUCCGUUUGUGUACUUAACAUAUUACUCCUGUAUUUUUUUCUUCGAGAAAACGCAAAGCUUGCGUCUCGAUGCAUUGAUAGAAAGAAAGUAUUUACAAGCCCAAGAA